GUAGGGGUCAGUAACCAUAACACUGAACUAUGUUCCUGUUUGGCUCUUCCAUGAAGAUGAUGUUACAUUUUUAAUUUUAGUUCUUUCUUCUUAGAUUAAGCUUCUGGAUUCAUCGCCAGUGCUCCUGUGUGGCAGGUGCUGUUAUGUGCAAUCACACAGUGGCACUGCUCUUCCAAACAGCACACUACUCACAACUCAGAGUGCCGGUUGUCCCCCUGUGCAUAGCUGCACCGAAUCUGAACAGCAAUGGCACAAGCCACGGACAGUGGGUGUGAAGCCAGGACCUAUCAACUCUAUGAUCUUCACUAAGCCGGUACCAAAUAGGAUGGCCCAGACUGGAGUACGGAGUGGAUUCUACAGAGGCGUG